AAUCCAUGUUGAGGGCAGCGUUGAAUCAAAUCUUUACAUCUUUUCCACGCUUCAUAGAGUGACUCAAUCAUUUUACUUGAAUUGACCAAUCUCACUCUUGAGUUA